ACAAUGGAGAGUUUGAUCCUGGCUCAGGAUGAACGCUAGCGGCAGGCUUAACACAUGCAAGUCGAGGGGCAGCACGAUGUAGCAAUACAUUGGUGGCGACCGGCGCACGGGUGCGUAACACGUAUGGAAUCUGCCUUGUACUGGGAGAUAGCCCGGAGAAAUCCGGAUUAAUAUCCCAUAACAGCUUGAGUGGCAUCACUCGGGUUUGAAAGCUCCGGCGGUACAAGAUGACCAUGCGCACGAUUAGCUAGUUGGUGAGGUAACGGCUCACCAAGGCUACGAUCGUUAGGGGGCCUGAGAGGGUUAUCCCCCACACUGGUACUGAGACACGGACCAGACUCCUACGGGAGGCA
rnacentral:rRNA from 1 species